CGCUGCAUCUAGACACUUAGAAUAUUGAGGUGUUCCCUGUUGAUAAAAGUGUAUGGAUCAGGAAAUAUUUGAUAUUCAUAAUGCAUUCUUGAGAGGGUUCACGAUGUACUGAAUUUCUACUUCUCAAUUGCCGAAGACCUUGCCACGUUUCUGCUGAAGUUAAAGAAUUGCGAGGCGAUUGAUAACCAGAAUGAAGCACAUAAACACUCCACAAUUCUGUUUUAAGUGUCCGACUGCAUGUCACUUCAGAUUCAGUACAACAGCGAAAGUUUUUUUUCUACAGAACUACCAGAAUUAAACGAAAAAAUUUAAUGAAAACCGGGAUGGUAAGGUACCAUGAAAUCAAGCAACAAAGUUAUAUUUACAGAGACAAGACAUUGACAAUUACCAUGAAGAUGUCCACUCCGCCAGCUUAUUGGCGAUACUUGCAGCGAAUUCCAUUCCUUUCGGUUUUUCUAUUAUCUGAUAUGAAUGGAUGGAAGAAUGAAAGGAUGGAAGAAUGAAUGGAUGAAUGUAGAAUUGAUCGUAAAAAUCGUGCAAACGUGAUUCUGGCAAGGGCGGCUCCGACAAAGAUCAUUCUUCUCCCAAUCAGAACUUCUCGUCAUGCACCCGGAUCAAAGCGACAAAGAUCGUCUUCGGAGCAGCGGUGACGUCAGCCGCGAAUCGUCUCGAUCCUAUGGCGAGUUUUCUUUCUUUCGUAUUUUUCAUCGUCAUUGUAAUCCUUCAGAUAGAGUAACAAAUCUGCGAGCAAGUAGCUGUUUCGGGAUUGAGAGCCUUCAUCAAAUGCAACAACGAACCCAUAUUCGAGUAGUCGUACGAAGUCGAUCACCUUUGCAAUAGGAACUACAUGACAAGCAUGUGGACAUGUGGUAUACCAACAUUUCAUAAAAAUUGAUAAGAUGGAUGGAAUUUUUAUCGUCUAGGCUUUGUCUCAACUGCUAUGUAGCUGCUUGCUUAUAGGAUGGAACAAGAAUUCUCUAUCACCAUUGGAGCUGUAACACAUGCAGAAUGUUGUAGGAAGAAAGUGGGUGUGUGGAGGAAGUGUGAUUGUUUUUACAAUUUAUUGUGAAAAGGCAAAUGAGUAAAAGUCAAGUGUUGAGGUCUUACGCCAAUGAAGUAUUUACCUCACCGUAAAUGCAACAGGCUUAGCUGAACUGGAAUGUACAUCUUUCCUUCUCGCCUUCCGAUAACAGUGUGAUUACUUUAAUACGGUUUAGUUCAACAGUGUGGACAAGAAGAACGAUAUUUUGUUAAAGUGUCCACAAGUCUGAGGGGACGGUGGUGGUGGAGUAACAAAUGUGUGGAAGAGGGACAUUUUUCGAGAGAUUGUCCAUAAGGAGCUGGCGAUGGUGGUGGAAGUCGUAGCCGCCAUAAGAGAAGAAUAUUCCUCCGGAAUGCCUACAAGGAAAAGAUGGGUGUUGGAGCUUGUACAUGUCAUAAGUGCAGCAAAGAGGGCCAUAUAGCAAGGGAUUGUCCACAAAGAGGAGGCAGUGGUGGCAGCAAGUAUUACAACAUAAUGUUAAUUGUACUUCACAAAAAUAUCUUAUGUUCCCAGGUCCAUUGUCUUACCCCUUGUGUCAUGAAGCUGGCCAUACUUUGUAAAUUAUGGUUUGCCAACUAAUAUUGAAGAGUAUUUUCAUCGUGUUGGUCGAACGGGCAGCGUGGGAAAUGUUGGAAAAUCAAUAAGCUUCUUUGACGAACAAAAGAUGGCAGAUACCUGAAUACAGAACGGAAUCGUUUUGUCUAAGGAAACAGUUAAUAAGAAUACUUUAUUUUACAUUUUUCUACUGCAUAUCCGGUUUAUGUUUUUUUCUUUUUACUUUUUCGCAUACCUACAUAGCUAUCAAAAUUUCAAACUAUGUCUACAAGGAUAGUUAUGGCAUAAAGGUAGCAUGCUGUCCUACAGUGCGAAUGGUCUGUGGUUCGAAUCCCAGAAUGAUUAAUAUUGCUGGGGUUGUCGUUGCAUGAACACUGGUAUAGGCGAAGGAAUAUAAGUUGUUCAUUGUU